GUAGUCUCGCACAGAUGCAUAUCAAUAAGCGGAGGAAAAGAAACUAACAAGGAUUCCCCUAGUAACGGCGAGUGAAGCGGGAAGAGCUCAAAUUUGAAAUCUUAAAGGGUUACCCUUUACGAAUUGUAGUUUAAAGAAGUGUUUUCUGUUGAGGUUUUGGUAAAAGUUCUUUGGAAUAGGACAUCAUAGAGGGUGAGAAUCCCGUAUUUGACCUUUACUUUCAACUUUGUGAUACACUUUCAAAGAGUCGGAUUGUUUGGGAAUGCUAGUCCAAAAUGGGUGGUAAAUUUCAUCUAAAGCUAAAUAUUGGCGAGAGACCGAUAGCGAACAAGUACCGUGAGGGAAGAUGAAAAGAACUUUGAAAAGAGAGUUAAACAGUACGUGAAAUUGUCAAAAGGGAAGCGUUUGACACCAGUGUUGUUUUUCUGAAAAUCAAUUAAAGAACUGUUUAUGCUAAGCUGUUUAGACUUUAUCAGCUAACUGUUUAGUUUUGAGCUUUUCUUUAAUGCACUUUUCAGUUAACAAGUCAACAUCAAUUUCUUUUGCUGUAAAAAAGCUUGAGGAAGGUGGCUUGAGAUUCGUCUUAAGUGUUUAUAGCCUCUUGCCUAUGCAGUCGGAGAGAUUGAGGUCUGCAGCGUAGAUCCUUCGGGGCUAAAUGCAUUUGUGCUAAGUUAUAGCAUUUUAUAGACAACUUGUUGACUAUGAUUUGUCUUGUAGCUUACUCGCUUAUGUUAUUUUACCUACGCUUAGGAUGUUGAAGACUCUACAGAGAUA
rnacentral:rRNA from 1 species